rnacentral:sRNA from 1 species
UGUUUGCCGUUGGCACGCGUUAAGGAUGGAAGCGGCAUCCUUUUUUGAGGCACGAAAAAAAGAUACAGCGAACAGCCUGGCCCGCA